rnacentral:rRNA from 1 species
CAGCAGCCGCGGUAAGACGUAGGAUGCGAGCGUUGUCCGGAUUUAUUGGGCGUAAAGAGUUCGUAGGUGGUUUGUUAAGUCUGAUGUUAAAGACUGGGGCUCAACCCUGGAAAUGCAUUGGAUACUGGCAGACUUGAGUGUGGUAGAGGCUAGUGGAAUUCCCAGUGUAGCGGUGAAAUGCGUAGAUAUUGGGAAGAACACCGGUGGCGUAGGCGACUAGCUGGGCCAUAACUGACACUGAGGAACGAAAGCCAGGGUAGCGAAUGGGAUUAGAUACCCGCGUAGUCCCUGUCUCUUAUAC